rnacentral:rRNA from 1 species
AUGCCGCCGCCCCCCACCCGCCGGCCCGGAUUCGCGCCGCCCUGGCCGGUGGCCACCGCCCCGGCGGCGAAGCCGGCGAAGGGACGAGGCGGCGGAAAACGGCUGGCCAACCGCAGCCGCAACCCGACCGACAGUUCUACGCGGCCGGUGAAGGUCUCCAAGGUGGCCGCGACGGCUCGGGGCGACGACUCGCAGCCGGUGCGGCCGGCGGCCUCCUCCAACAGCCACACAUCCAUUCCUCAACCUCCCCCGCCGCCACCGCCGGCCGUGGAGGAAGAUGUGGCCACGCCGACGGCCACCGCCUCCAACAUGUUCGACGAAAUGUCGCAAAGAAGUGGAAAUUAUACCACCGCGGAGGAUGUGUUGAUAUGUACUGCUUGGAAGAAAAUCUCUCAAGAUGCAAGCAUUGGAAGCGACCAAACGGUGAACACCUAUUGGCAACACAUCAAGGAGUACUUCGAUGAGCGCAACACAAGUGGUCACUUCCGUUCGAGCGACUCUCUACGCCAAUGUUGGUCCACCAUCAACACCGAAUGCCAAAAGUGGGCCGGUUGCUUGUCAAACGUUGCUCGCAUGAACCCAAGUGGUUGCGGUGAUAGUAACUUGAAAAUGAUUGCACAAGGAUUGUUUCGAGAGAGGAACAUGAAAGGCGAGAAGAAGAAAAGGAAAGGAAAAGCUUUCACUUUUCAUCAUUGCUACAAAGAGCUCAAGGAUGAGGAGAAGUGGAAAACUAGAGAGACUUUUGAAUCGUCGAAGAAGAAGAGUGCGGUGCUUGAGGAUGAAGAAGAUGUCACCAUUGAGGAGACGAGCCCCACUCCUCACUCCGCGACAAAAUCUUAUAGGCCCGAUGGAAACAAGAAAGCGAAGGGAACCAAGGCCGGAGACAAUGAUCUCAAGGAAGGAUUUGAUGCCAUUGUCAUGGUGAGGAAAGAGUAUGCCGAAGAGAAAAGAAUCUUGAAGCUCAAGGAAAUAGAGGAGAGGAGUGAGGCCGAGCGGCGAAGGGCGGCGGCCGAGGAGAAGAGGGCGGCGGCCGAGGAGAGGUUGGCCGCGGCCGAGGAGAGGAAGGUGGACCUAGAGGAUAAGAAGGCUGCAGCCGACGAGAGGAAGAUGGUUGAGGAGAGGACACUCAAGUUUAUGUUUAUGGACACAUCAACUCUUGAUGCCAAGGCAAAGGCAUAUAUUGAACUUUGUCGCGAUGAAAUGCUCAUGAAGAAGAAAAUGCUCAUGAGGCAAAUGAUGAUGGGAGGAGGCAUGGGAGGUGCCAUGGGAGAAGGCAUGGGAGGAGGCAUUGGAGGUGCCAUGGGAGGAGGCAUGGGAGGUGCCAUGGGAGGAGGCAUGGGAGGUGCCAUGGGUGGUUACAUGAACAUGAUUGGAGGUUCCAUGAAUGGUGCAUUUGGCGGAAACAUGGGAGGUGGCUUAGGUGGCAACAUGGAAGGUGGCUUUGGCGGCAUGGGAGGUGGCUUUGGCGGCAACAUAAUGGGUGGCUUGGGAGGUGGCUAUGGCGGCAACAUGAGUGGCGUUGGAGUUGGCUUCGUCGGCAACAUGACCGGUAUGGGACGCAAUGAAGAUGCUUCCGAUGGUGCUCACGGCAACGAGAAUUCACCGCUUGUUGAGAACGUCGACAAAGACGGUGGUGAAGAUGAUGAUCGUACCACAGUUCACAACGCCGGUGGUGUUGAUGACCCGCAUGAGUAA